CUGGUGUGGCGACACUGACAAUGGUUGUCUACCAACUCUGCCACAUCACUUCAAUUAUUCAAAGUGGACGAAGGCCUCCCCGAAUGGACGUGUCGCUUGACAACUGCCCCGGAAAUAAAAGUAGCAUUGCAUCAGCUAUGAAUGCGACAUUCUUCGAGCCGCAGCCAUCAAUUGAAGAACAAUUUAUCCUCUUUCGCCUGUCGUAUCUGUGGACCAGCUUUUUCGCUAUACUUGCAACACUCCUAAUUGGAGUUGCCGUGAGUGCUGCUACAGGUGAAAUAAAGAAGAAAAAAUGGCAGCAUGAUCUUUGUUAUGACCCGGCUGUCAAUUUCUGGAAACACAUCAUUCCUCUCUCUCGUGAGGAAAAAGAUCAGG